AAACGUAUCCGCUCGCUCUUUUCAUUUUCUCCCACCGUUCUAAUUCUCUUUUGCACGGUUUCAGUUCUGUUUUCGCCUUCCAUUUAUUCUCUGCCUCCUGCCUCAUUUUGUUCCUCUGUCGCUGCUCUUCACUAGAUUUGGGUCUGCCGCCGAUGAUGACCGCUGCUUCCGCCUUGGAUUUGUGACUUCGCCGCUGCGGUGCGCCUUGGCUGGGUUCAUCAUGGUGUUAGUUCUGCUAUGAAGAGGCCGAAUUUGAGGGACUUGAUUCAUUUGAACUGACGCCUAUGCUCGCAUUUUUGGGAUAGUCUGUCUGUAAUCGCAUCCGUUUGCUGCUUGGUAUUCUGUAAAUGCUUCUCCUGGAUUAUCCCAGUUGCAAUGUUUUGGAUUCUCUCUAAUUCUACAUGCUUGGAAGAACAAGUAGUCAAUUAAGGAAAUGUUACUAUACAGCAUACAAUAAGGCCUUAGUAGAGAGUGGAAUGGAGGAAAGUGCUACCAUGAAUUUAUGAGUCGUAUCACUGCCAAGAAUGGUUAUUUAUUUUCAAGUUAGAGGGAAGAAAAAUAGGAAUCACACAUGUUGGAUUUUUAUUUUGGUUUUGACAUUCAUAUUAAGCAUAUGCACGAUGCCUUAGAAUUCUAACAUAGUGAUGAAGCUAAUGAAUGAAAGAUUAAAAUAAGUACAUGAUAGUGAUAGUAGCUUCUUGGUUUUAAUUGAAUAUGUUUUGUUUAUUUUUAUUUUUGCAAUUCCAAGGAUCAAGUCUCAAAUCUAAAUGCUAACCUGACAGUUGUAAGGUUUUGGAUUCUCUGAUUCUGCAUGCUUGGUAAAAUGAGUAGGAAAUUAAGGUGGUGAAUCUUAUCUUGGAGUCUUAAAUUGAUGUCACAACCAGCCAUAUUUUUCAACAGUGUGAUUCAAGUGGAUCAUCUUAUCCAAACUAAAGACAUGUUCUCAGGAACGAACAAAGUAGGAGCAACGAAGAAGAUAAAUGGGAGUGGAUAUGAGAAUUCUUACUUAUAAGUUGCAGUGUUGUUGUCUCCCGCCAAGGUAUGAAUCAUACUUCUUUUUACUUUUUUUCACCUUUUCUAUUUAUUUCCUCUUUCACUCCCAUUCCAUGUUAUGUUUUUUUUUUUGCCUUCUUUAGAGUUUUGUUUUUCAGCCUAUGCAUUCCCAAGACUAUUCACAAGUACAAUGAUUAUAAGGAUGUUGGUUUUCCUAUUUACUGAUUAUAUGAAUAAGAAUUAUGUGAGCAGAGAGAGAAUACUGGGACAAAUAAAUGCUAAAAUGAGUGAGAAUUAUGUUGGUUUUCACAUUAGUCAAGUAAGCUUUAUCUCUUUUUCUUCUUAUGUAUUUGUCUUUGUUCUACUACUACAAUGCAAAAUUAUUAACUUUGCAGGUUUUGAGUAAAUCCUAAUAUUUUGAUUAUGAUUACUUCCUAACUGCACAUACUUUGGGUUUGUGAUUGAAGAAACUGAUUUAAAUAGAUAUAUGUGUUGUCAUGCUCCCACUACAUGCAAGUACAAGGCUGGAAAAAACUGAUGAGUACUUACUUCAUUUGGUGCAUUUGUUGGAUGUUAAUUUUAAGGCAAUACUGUCAUGAAAACUGACUUAGGGAAGGAUGAAAACUGACUUAGGGAAGGGUGAAAACUGACUCUGGCAGUACUGUUCAUUCUUUGGGUUAUUAUUCUAUUAAAUGUGUGGUUACUCUUGAUAUUUGUUUUUCUUAUUCAGAAGCUACAAGAAUGGAUUUGUGUGGCAUGAUCUCUGCGAAGAUGAUAAAUCUUUACCAUCCCAUGGAAAUAAGAAUGUCCUCAAAGGCUCUGAGCUCUUUGACAAAUCCAACUCAGUUAAAGAAAGAUCAUUUAGAAGUUGUUGUUGUGGCCAGCUUCUUUUAGGAGUCAUGGCCAAGCUUCGAGUGAUUCUAUUUGGAUUGUGCAGUAGCUCAGCUGAUAAAAACAUAGGCAUUUGGAAGAUUAAGGCUUUUGGAAGCUUUGUAAGUUCAAAUCGUACUGCGGUACAUAUACUACCAAUGUACAGGUCUGGGAAUAUAGCCAAAAAUAACAGUGAAUAAACAUAGGGUUCUUUGACUGGGAAUAUAGCACAAAAUCAGAAUCAGGUCUGCAAUAUACUGUUGUACAUAUAAUACCAAUGUAUCCCAAAUGUGUAUCCUGGAAGCUUAGAAGGGGACUUUUGAUUAUCUUAGAUCCCAAGUGUGUAUCCCAGACUCAUGUUGAAAUUAAAAAAUCUGUUAAUUCAAUUUA